AAAAGGGAGCAGAAAAUUCAGCGUGAACAAGAAUCAACAGAGAAUGUUCCAGGCUUCACAGUGGAAGGAAGGGCAAGGCAAUCAAAGUAGAUGGAUAUCAAAAGGAGAGUGGAAGGGAAAGAAGAUAAAACUGUGGUGGCAGCUUUGACCAUGGCGUUACAAUCCCCAAGAUUAUGUGUGUCUGUGUGUGUACGUGUGUGUGCAUUAUAUCCACGUUGGAAAGAGCUGAAUUGUGUGUGAAAUUUCGAGUUGCACUCUUUCUAGCAACAUUGCCAUGUCUCAGGAUGACAGGACUUGAAUUGUUUCACUUUGACUAAACGUGUAGAAGAGAAAGCUGGCUGGCGAAUAUUGUAUUACACACAGCAGUAAGGAUGGCCCGUGCAGAAAUGUAAGGCAUGUGAUAGAUGGGCAAAGCACGAGUGGCACUCUGCCAGCUCGUGAUAAGUAUCUGGCACAUCUGCAGCAUCACCAAGUGGUCUCUGAUUUAGCAAAAGCAUCAUAAAGAUAUUUGGUGUCAUAAAAGUAACACUUUAUUUAACCUUCCUGUACAAACUUUAGGAGCAUUAAUCUGUCACAGUAGGCUCUAUCUUGUACAUGUAAAUGGAUGAGACUCUGUAAUCAAAUCCUAAAUGUGUAUUUGCUGCAAUACGGCUUUUCAGAAGAAUGUAUGAUGGGAAGCAACACACGGAGCAGGGGACAAUUAAAGGGAUGGCACCAUGCUCGAUGAGACUGAGGCACAGACGUAGGAUGCUGAAAGAGCAUGGAAGAACCUAGCAGAUGAGAGCAAGGAGCAGCAGAAGGUGGCAGCACUCUUGCUCCACACCCAGACUCUGCGCAAUUUACACAUGGGAAAGAUUGGAAAGGUCAUGUGACGUCAGCUUGGCCCACACAUUGGAAUGGGAAUCUGUUGGCAAAGUGAAAAUUAUUGGUCUCGCAAAACUGAGAUGGGAACAUCGACCUGAAAAGAAUGCAUCUUAUGGUUUUUACAAUGCCAUUUAGGAAUAUGACAUGAAUAUCCCAAAGUACAGAUGUAAGAAUGUGAAUUUUAAGUUCAAUAGAGAAGAAGGGAGAGAAAGAGAUAGAAAGGAGGAGAGGAAAAGACAGCAUGCCAUUUUUCAAGACGUAACUCUUAGCAUCUCUUUUUCUUUCCCGGAAAGUACUGAAUAUUGAUAAGAAUUGUGAAGACUCUGAGGCCUCCCAGUAUUUUGGAGAACAUUUCACAAAGCAAACUUUAGUCAUGUAAAAUGGGUAAACAUGAUGUGAAAUGUAUUAACACAUUUGGUGAAUUCUGCAAAUAUAUUUUUACACAAUUAGCCUAAUUAUUUAGAUACAUAUUAAACCUUGCUUGCCUCAAGCAAUUUAACAUGGAAUGUAAUUUCACAUAUUAUCACAAGAAAAACACAUUUAUAGAAAAUCUGUGGCUUGCCUUUCAUCAUAACACUUCAACCCAUCAUUAUUUGAGAUAUAAAUAGAUAGUGUAUAUUUCAAGGAUGAUGAACACUGUAUUUCCGGAGAAAGUGUCUCCUAAUCCAGUCAGUACUUGGUCCCCUAAAUCCAUCUCUGUUCAUUUGUUAUGUUGAAAUAGACACUGGUACUGAUGCAUCGGUGAUACAAUAACAAUAUACAAAACAGAGUGUCCCCCCCCAUUCUGAACUGAAAAGAUUUGCUAUCAUUUAUUUUGAGGGGCUUUAAAAGAGAAGAGCACACAGAACUAAUUCAAAAAGACUUGCAGAGGAGGCGAGAUGACUGUAGUUCUGCAUGUUCCCCUGUUUGCAAGCCAACAGGAGUCACUUCAACUUUAAAAAUCCUGCUCAACAGUCAUUGCGCACUGUCUUUCCAUUCGUAUUUUCAAUGGACUGUGUGGAGCAUUACUUCCUGAGAGAUCAAAUUAUUUGGAAAUCCUUUUAUCAGUCAUUUUCGCGACAGAAAAAGGGGAGCAUUGAUGAUAAGAACACUUUAUGUUUGAAUGGUGAUUAAAAGAUUUUUAAAGAGCUUCCACACACAUCAUUUUAUUGUGGAACAACUUGAUGAUCUAGGCAGUAUUUCAUAUUGGCCGUUUAUAUUUAAAGAAACUCUCUUUUACAAAGGGAGAAAAUAAAUUACAGAGAGAAAUAACUUGCCAUAGUCACUUGAACUGUGACCACACAGACAGAAGUAUUUUUAUCAAAUAUGUUUUUGGCAUUUUACUAUAUGACAAACAACAGCAUUUUGAAGUGAAG
rnacentral:lncRNA from 1 species